GACCUUGUGCUUGCGAGGCCGGCGCUGGAACCACUGAGCUAAAUCCCCGGGCCCUCAUUUUUACUUUUAACUAGCAUUGAACAGCAUCAUGAAAAGCACAUCUUGUGUGCAUCAUCUUGAAUUCACAUAGUUUGCAUGACAUAAGCAAUUAUCAUUCUGCUUUACAUGGAGAAAAACAAGCCCUAGAGAGAAAAAAUUUGUCCAAAGACUCCUGGUGAUGUUGCUGUUGCCUGGAACCCCCUGGAGUUAUCAGCUGGGACAUCUCCAUGUGGCCUCUGUGUGUGACCACCAGGCUGGUGCUUAGAUGGUUUGCAUUGCUGUCCGCAUCCUCCAGUCUUCUUCUUCUUCUUCUUUUUUCUUUUUUGGUACCAGGGAUCGAACUCGGAUCCUUGUGCUUGCAAGGCAGGAGGUGGAACCACUGAGCAAAAUCCGCGGCCCCUUCAGUCUUCUUUUGUUUGUUGAUGUAUGUUUCACUGUCGGGAGCAUUUCUACAUAAAUUUUUGGGAAAAA